UAGUUUAUAAUUAAAGGUAAGUUCUGCCCUAUGAUUUUUUUAAAUGGCUGCAGUAUAUUGACUGUGCAAAGGUAGCAUAAUAAUUAGUCUUUUAAUUGGAGGCUGGAAUGAAUGAAUAAAUGAGAAGUUUAUUUUAUUAUAAUUAUUUUUGUAAUUUAAUUUUUAGGUAAAAAAGCCUAAUUGAUUUUUUGGGACGAGAAGACCCUAUAGAAUUUUAAUUUAUUAUUUUUAAUAAUUUUUUUAGUUUUUGUAUUAAUUUAAUUAUAUGUAUAUUUUUAUUGGGGUGAUAAAUAAAUUUAUCUUUAUUUUUAAGAAUCAUUAAUUUAUGUUUUAUUGAUCCAUUUUUAUUUGAUUAUAAGAUUAAAUUACCUUAGGGAUAACAGCGUAAUUUUUAUGAAGAGUUCAUAUUUAUAUAAAAGUUUGCGACCUCGAUGUUGAAUUAAGAUAAUUUUGUGGUGCAG
rnacentral:rRNA from 1 species